UACGGGGGGGGUAAGCGUUGUUCGGAAUUACUGGGCGUAAAGGGCUCGUAGGCGGCCAACUAAGUCAGACGUGAAAUCCCUCAGCUUAACUGGGGAACUGCGUCUGAUACUGGAUGGCUUGGAUCCGGGAGAGGGAUGCGGAAUUCCAGGUGUAGCGGUGAAAUGCGUAGAUAUCUGGAGGAACACCAACGGCGAAGGCAGCACUCUGGGCCGGUACUGACGCUGAGGAGCGAAAGCGUGGGGAGCAAACAGG
rnacentral:rRNA from 1 species